rnacentral:rRNA from 1 species
UACGGGGGGGGGGCAAGCGUUGUUCGGAAUUACUGGGCGUAAAGGGCUCGUAGGCGGCCAACUAAGUCGGACGUGAAAUCCCUCGGCUCAACCUGGGAACUGCAUUGGAAACUAACGGGCUCGAGUGUGGCAGAGGGGGGGUGGAAUUCCACGUGUAGCAGUGAAAUGCGUAGAGAUGUGGAGGAACACCGAUGGCGAAGGCAGCCCCCCUGGGCUAACACUGACGCUCAGGCACGAAAGCGUGGGGAGCAAACAGG